rnacentral:snRNA from 1 species
UGUGCUGGCUGUGGCAACGCACACUCUACCAAAAUCUGAACAAUAAAAGAUUAACAUGGCCUCUGUGCAGGGUUAACACACAGAUUUGAGAAACAUUCCAUAUAUUU